AAGGAAGAUGAACCAGCUUCUUGAGAAACUGAUCCCUUUUUAUUUCGCUUGAACUUUAUUGGCUUCUGUUCUGCUGUUACGGAUGUUGCAUUUCCAAGAUCAGAAAUUGGCCUCCUGAAAAAAAGUUUGUUUUCUUGUUUGAGAAAAGACGAGUACAUGGACACAUUUACAGCAGGGAAAUAGUAAGAGUAAGACAGACAGAAACAAUAACAACAUAGGAAAGAAAAGGAGUAAGACCUUCUAGUAUCUCCCUCCAACCACCUGCCUAAAAUAAAGAUUCUAUAACAACAGUAUUUUUCUCUAACUGUGAAACUGAAAAAAUCGGGUAAACACUGAUUCGUUGUUUAAAUGGGUCAAAAGCCAUUUCUGCAUGUUUUCUAUUUAUAUGGGAGGCCAUCAUGCACUAUAAACAUCCCAAACCGUCAUGUGUUGUAAUCGCGCCUAGACAAAAGUACAGCCUCACUCUCUCACUCUAUCCAUGUAACUGGAAACAUGCUGAAGUUCACGUCGGAGCACAACAAUUCGUCUUCCUAUGCAACAAUUUACGCCCAAAAGCAAAGGGUACAAAUCUAUAGCUAAGGAGAACCCAUAAUGGAACAAGAUCUUGAGAAAAAAGGGACAUUCCAAAGUUCAAGAAAACAUGUUGAUUGAGAUAUCGAGCCCAUACCAAGUGAAGGUAUUGAAGUAAGGUAUUGGAGUAGAGGACAUGGGAAGAGAAGACAGAUAAGAAGCGUGUGUUAUGAAAGGCAAAAUAAUGACCAACAGCAAGUCAGCAGACUUCCAGUUAGCUCAGGUGCUCAAUUUGCCAACUGGAGAGGUCAACGAUGUUAGUGGAGACAAAAAUUUAAAGAGACAGAGAUCGGGUGGCACAAGAUAUAGAUGGUCUGGGGUAUUUAAACCAAGUCUUUGGCAGAGGAAGAAAGCCUGCAGCCUUUGGAAACAGUCUCAAAUUAAGGGCACAGAGCCCAUAACGGAACAUGAUCUUGAACAAGUGGAAUGUUCCCAAGCUCAAGAAAACACGUUGAUUGAGACUGAACGCUCACCAAAUGAAGGUAUUAAAGUUUAAGUAGAGGUCAUCAGAAGGGAAGACACUGAUGUAACUUUAGAAAUGGAGACCAUACACAAAGCGCAUGGAACAAAGGGGAAGCAAAAAGCUAGUAGAGAAACAUGGACAAAAGAAAAUAAUAAGAAAAAAGAGAAAAAGGUCAGGAA